rnacentral:rRNA from 1 species
GAUGAACGCUGACAGAAUGCUUAACACAUGCAAGUCCACUUGAACUUCGGUUUGGGUGGCGGACGGGUGAGUAACGCGUAAAGAACUUGCCUCACAGUUAGGGACAACAUUUGGAAACGAGUGCUAAUACCUGAUAUUAUGAUUUUAGGGCAUCCUAGAAUUAUGAAAGCUAUAUGCGCUGUGAGAGAGCUUUGCGUCCCAUUAGCUAGUUGGAGAGGUAACGGCUCACCAAGGCGAUGAUGGGUAGCCGGCCUGAGAGGGUGAACGGCCACAAGGGGACUGAGACACGGCCCUUACUCCUACGGGAGGCAGCAGUGGGGAAUAUUGGACAAUGGACCAAGAGUCUGAUCCAGCAAUUCUGUGUGCACGAUGAAGUUUUUCGGAAUGUAAAGUGCUUUCAGUUGGGAAGAAAAAAAUGACGAUACCAACAGAAGAAGUGACGGCUAAAUACGUG